rnacentral:rRNA from 1 species
UACGAAGGGUGCAAGCGUUAAUCGGAAUUACUGGGCGUAAAGCGCGCGUAGGUGGUUCAGUAAGUUGGAAGUGAAAUCCCCGGGCUCAACCUGGGAACUGCUUUCAAAACUGCUGAGCUAGAGUACGGUAGAGGGUGGUGGAAUUUCCUGUGUAGCGGUGAAAUGCGUAGAUAUAGGUAGGAACACCAGUGGCGAAGGCGACCACCUGGACUGAUACUGACACUGAGGUGCGAAAGCGUGGGGAGCAAACAGG